GAUGAACGCUAGCGGCAGGCUUAACACAUGCAAGUCGAGGGGUAGAAGUUGCUUGCAACUUUGAGACCGGCGCACGGGUGCGUAACGCGUAUGCAAUCUACCUUAUACAGAGGGAUAGCCCAGAGAAAUUUGGAUUAAUACCUCAUAGUAUAAUUGAAUGGCAUCAUUUAAUUAUUAAAGUUCCAACGGUAUAAGAUGAGCAUGCGUCCUAUUAGCUAGAUGGUAAGGUAACGGCUUACCAUGGCAACGAUAGGUAGGGGUCCUGAGAGGGAGAUCCCCCACACUGGUACUGGGACACGGACCAGACUCCUACGGGAGGCAGCAGUGAGGAAUAUUGGACAAUGGGCGCAAGCCUGAUCCAGCCAUGCCGCGUGCAGGAAGAAGCAUCUAUGGUGUGUAAACUGCUUUUGUACGGGAAGAAACACCCCUUCGUGAAGGGACUUGACGGUACCGUAAGAAUAAGGAUCGGCUAACUCCGUGCCAGCAGCCGCCGUAA
rnacentral:rRNA from 1 species